CUCUGUCCUCUCCAUGCUGCCUUCUCAAAUCUUCAUCUUCACAGCUGAUGCGGAUUGUGGCGAGAACGAAUUCCUGAAAAUUAGCUGCAAUGGAAGCACCUAAUCAGUCUGAUCUGCGAUCUGAUUUGAAUCCUCAAGUCACGUACCGCUGCAAGAAAUGUCGAAGAAUCGUUGCUACAGAGGAGAUGGUUGUUCCCCAUGAACGUGGAGGUGGGCAGAAGUGUUUUAAGUGGAAAAAGAGAAGUCAUACCCAAGUGGAAAACGAGCCACCUGAAUGCUCAUCUAUUUUUGUAGAGCCCAUGAAGUGGAUGGAAUCAUUACAAGACGGUGGUGUGGAAGACAAGAUU